CCUACGGGAGGCAGCAGUGAGGAAUAUUGGUCAAUGGGCGAGAGCCUGAACCAGCGACGUAGCGUGAAGGAUGACUGCCCUAUGGGUUGUAAACUUCUUUUAUAUGGGAGUAAAAUGUUCCACGUGUGGGAUUUUGUCUGUACCAUAUGAAUCCGGCACGGCUAACUCCGUGCCAGCAGCCGCGGUAAUCCGGAGGGUCCGAGCGUUAUCCGGAUUUAUUGGGUGUAAAGGGAGCGUAGGUGGAUUGUUAAGUCAGUUGUGAAAGUUUGCGGCUCAACCGUAAGAUUGCAGUUGAAACUGGCAGUCUUGAGUGCAGGAGAGGUGAGUGGAAUUCGUGGUGUAGCGGUGAAAUGCUUAGAUAUCACGAAGAACUCCGAUUGCGAAGGCAGCUCACUGGACUGCAACUGACACUGAGGCUCGAAAGUGUGGGUAUCAAACAGGAUUAGAUACCCCUGUAGUC
rnacentral:rRNA from 1 species